rnacentral:rRNA from 1 species
GAUGAACGCUGGCGGCGUGCCUAAUACAUGCAAGUCGAGCGAACAGACGAGGAGCUUGCUCCUCUGACGUUAGCGGCGGACGGGUGAGUAACACGUGGAUAACCUACCUAUAAGACUGGGAUAACUUCGGGAAACCGGAGCUAAUACCGGAUAAUAUAUUGAACCGCAUGGUUCAAUAGUGAAAGACGGUUUUGCUGUCACUUAUAGAUGGAUCCGCGCCGCAUUAGCUAGUUGGUAAGGUAACGGCUUACCAAGGCAACGAUGCGUAGCCGACCUGAGAGGGUGAUCGGCCACACUGGAACUGAGACACGGUCCAGACUCCUACGGGAGGCAGCAGUAGGGAAUCUGCCGCAAUGGGCGAAAGCCUGACGGAGCAACGCCGCGUGAGUGAUGAAGGUCUUCGGAUCGUAAAACUCUGUUAUUAGGGAAGAACAAAUGUGUAAGUAACUAUGCACGUCUUGACGGUACCUAAUCAGAAAACCACGGCUAACUACGU